rnacentral:rRNA from 1 species
AUUGAACGCUGGCGGCAUGCCUUACACAUGCAAGUCGAACGGCAGCACGGGAGCAAUCCUGGUGGCGAGUGGCGAACGGGUGAGUAAUAUAUCGGAACGUGCCCAGUCGUGGGGGAUAACGCAGCGAAAGUUGUGCUAAUACCGCAUACGAUCUAUGGAUGAAAGCGGGGGAUCGCAAGACCUCGCGCGAUUGGAGCGGCCGAUAUCAGAUUAGGUUGUUGGUGAGGUAAAAGCUCACCAAGCCUGCGAUCUGUAGCUGGUCUGAGAGGACGACCAGCCACACUGGAACUGAGACACGGUCCAGACUCCUACGGGAGGCAGCAGUGGGAAUUUUGGACAAUGGACGCAAGUCUGAUCCAGCAAUGCCGCGUGCAGGACGAAGGCCUUCGGGUUGUAACUAGCUUUGUUACAGAACGAAAAAGUACUUUAAUAACACUAAGGCGUCAUGACGGUACUGUAAGAAUAAGACACCGGCUAAACCG